GAUGAAGAACGCAGCGAAGUGCGAUAAGUAGUGUGAAUUGCAGAAUUCCGUGAAUCAUCGAAUCUUUGAACGCAAAUUGCACUCUCUGGUAUUCCGGAGAGUAUGCCUGUUUGAGGGUCAAUUAAAUAAAAUCGGGCGUUUUUGAUGUCCGGAAUUGGGUCGUCAUGACCAUUCGGUUAAGUGACCUAAAAUUUUGUAUGAUCUUACGAACGUAUUUAAAAUAUUUACGUACGUUUUUGUAAUUAUUCAGUUUUAUUAGAUGUGGUCAUUUUUAUGGUUCGCGUCUAUAAUUUCUCAUCUAUUGACCUCAAAUCAGGUAAGAAUACCCGCUGAACUUAAGCAUAUCAAUAAGCGGAGGA
rnacentral:misc_RNA from 1 species